ACCCAUAACUUGGCAUAAAUGGUAUAUACUACCAUAGUACCUGACAGAUCUCUACUGGCAAAUGCAAUAGCUAUAUAGAUGAAUUCUGUAGCACUUUAGCUAGAUCUAAUUUGUCAUAAGAUCUAGUGAACUUCAUAUCUCAAGGAUCUGACUAUGGAUGAUUCAACGAGCCAUCAGAAACAGGUUUCCAAUUUCAUUUGGAAAAAGAACAGAAAAGCCAUUGCUUUUAAACUGAAUGUUGCAAUCUUCCCCUAUCUAAUGCAAGAGUCAUUGAUCUCUGAUAGAGCUGGAAAGAAAUACACUGACCCGAAAUGUUUUGAUUACCAGAAGAUAGAUCUUCUUGUCACAGCGGUACCCAUGUGUGGCCAUGACGACUAUCUCCUCAAGUUUAUCUGGUGUCUAAGGAGCAGUGCAGCUGACGCUGGUGAUGCUCACAAUGAGCUGGCAGAUUUGCUAGAGAGUGAGUACAAAGACAUGCUCACUCGUCAAGUGUCGCUAACAGAAGAGAUCAGCAAGAAAACAAUUUAUGAUCCACAAAUUGGUGCCAUGUUCCACAAAGAGUCUGUCAGUUCAGUCCUAACGAUCACAUCGAUCAGAGAGGGAGCAUCUUCGAUGGUUGGAAAUGGAUACUCUCAAAAAGACUAUGAUUACCAUAAACUGAGAAACACGUUUGGACGAACAAAUCUAAACAAGAGAAAAAUGAAAGAAAGGGGAAAGUGGAUUAUCAUCCAUGCAUCAGCUUUGAUCUGGCUUCUACUUGGUUCGAUCACGGUCAUCAUUGUUCUUAACAGUGUCCCUAAACAAACAAGUAGCAGUCCGUUGAGUGUUGUAUGUAGCCAACAAGAUGUUAUGCUAGCUAUCGACCUUGGCAUCGAUCCGUUCUGGCUCUCUUCAGCUACUUUUACAAUGGAGAGUACUAGAGGAAGCUCCACAUUGUAUUUAGCAAAUAUAUCACGUGAAGAUGCACCUACUAGUACUACAAUAACGCACAGGCUUAAUUUUCCACCUUUCUACUUGGCUCAGGGUUCAAACUACAGUGUCACUAACAAUUUGAGUAUUCCUGUCGAGUUCUGGUUCAUAAAAUCGGAGCCUAGAAAUUGUCCAGAUCAGUACGUGUGGAAUUGUUCUGAUCCUCAGGAUGAUAAUAAGAUAUGUGAAAAAACAAAAUCGGGAGAAGCUACUUCACUGUAUACUGUGAAUGUAUCGGACUACUAUACGUUUUGUGUGAACCCUGCGACUAAAAGAUUCACAAACACUGAGACUUUGAAUUUGGUAACAUAUGAUCUGACUGCUAUACAAGAGAGGAGUAGACAACGAAUGGAAAUGUCACGAACAGAAAAAACAGUCAAUUUGAACAUGUACAAGUGGUUUGACUUUCACAAAGAAGAACUGUCAAUUUUUUUGCACAUCAACUCAUGUGGUGGAGAUGAUGAAUUCAACGAACUACCACUGAAAAUUGAAGUUCAUCGGAGAAUGGAUAUUCUGUGCAUUCCGAUACUGAUUGCUUUGAUAUUGGCUAUCUUCCAUUUAUUGAUCACUGUAAUUGUACAUAUCCGUCAAAAGCGACUGUGUAGACGUCAAAAGAACAAUACUAUUAACUAUAUUAGAUGACUUCUAUAUUGGUGUGUGAUUUUUAUUUUAGAAGAGUAGCAGAACUGUACCAAGGGCAUCUUUAUCAAGGUCAAUAAUUGUACUAUGAAUUGUCAUAAUUAUAAUGGGUAAAGAUCAUUAACAAGACAAGUUAUUUUUUUAUUUCUACCACAUGUGUGUAACUAUAACUAGUACUUUUAGCGUUUUUCUUGUGAUCUAUCCAUCAAAACCGUGUAUCAUCAACAACUAGUUACUAUUCCACCUAUUGAAAAGCAUGUCUACGUCCAAAACUGAACAAAAAGAAGACAGUGCACCAAUAAUGGCCGCAGAAGAAGUGGUUCCUGAGAAGCACCCUCUACAAAACAAGUGGUCAUUGUGGUACUUGAAGCAAGAUAAAUCGAAAGACUGGAAAGACAAUCUGAAAAAUGUUAUAUCUUUUGACACUGUGGAGGACUUCUGGUCGGUGUUCAACCACAUAAAGCCCCCAAGCAUGAUACAGUCUGGAUGUGAUUACAUGCUCUUUAAGGAUGGAAUCAGCCGGCCUGGAAGGACGCACAGAACAUCAAGGGUGGGCGAUGGCUGCUCUAAAUAGACAAGAAGGACAGGAGAGAUGUGCUGGACUCAUUCUGGCUAGAGACAAUAAUGCUCCUGAUAGGAUAAGGAUUUGACGACAGUUCUGACGAGGUGCGAGGAGCCAUGGUGCAGAUCAGAGGCAAGGGGGACAAGAUUGCCAUCUGGGCGGGAAACAGUAAAAAACAGAUGAUGUCAUGGUUAUAGGGCACAUGUGGAGCAGCACUAAAUGAAGCAGCACUACCACCUCCUGUCGACUCAAGUCAACCAACAGCUCCUCAGCCUCCAAAAGUAUCCCCAUCCUCUAAAAGCAGCAGGGCAUUGACAGUGUUGAAGAUGAACUGGCGAUGGGUUGUCGCAUAUUCCGCUUCGUUGAUCUGGCUAGUUCUGGGAAUUAUUGUUGCCGUUGUGCUCUCUCAAGUACCUCAGACAAGAACGAGUCUCCCCCUUAUGAUAACAGGACGAAGGGACGCUCUAAUGGCCGAGGUUGACUUGGGUAUUGAUCCAUUUUGGAUAUCGUCUGCCUCCUUUCGUCUCACUACAGUAGGACAGCAACAAGUAUCGCCCUGUACUGCUGGUCUGUAUGUAUUGACCAAUCAAACUUGUCGAACGUUGCCUACGGUGACUCAAGAGUUCGAUAUGACUAAUCUCCUAGCAUCACCGUUCUAUCUACUAGAAGGCUCAACCUUCAACAUCACUUUAGGUGCACAUAACGAUUUGAUGAAAGAGUUUAUUGAUGUGUGGUAUGUUGAAUCUACGACUACCAACUGCGACCUUGUCUUUGGAGAUUGUGAGCAGCCCCCCAGGGCAACAUACACAUGUCAGCGAGGGCUACGUGGAGAGACACUACCUGUUUAUAGAGUUAACAAUUCUGAAUACUAUGCUUUCUGCUCCGAUCAAUUAUUUAGGAAUUUUUUCAUUCUGAAAUCAAUAACGUACAAUGUGUCAGCUAUUCGACAGACGUACACACUUAGGACUCCACCGACAACAAAUGAAAUGCUUUCACUGUUGAUUUCACACAAUCAUUUGAUUUCAGUGCAAUUGAUUAUUGUAUACUGCUUGAUGUUGAUAGCAAUCAAUGCCCCAGCAGUACAAGUGCCAACUAUAGACUCAAUAAUUAUCGAGUUGAAACAAAGAAUGGACAUUCCGCUCCUUUCAUUUAUCAUUGGUGGCGUUUUGUUUGCAAUUCAUUUUGUGAUAACUAUAAUAGUACACAGCUGCUUUAGAAAAUAUCAUCAAAAGAAUUCUGGAGAUCUAGAUCUAGUGAUUAACUCCGACUGAUAUUUAAC